AGAUAUUGUUAGCCGAAGGCCGGAGGAUAGAACGUUGACUAAAGAUAUAAAGCCAUUCAGCCAUGGGAUAAUAUUUCUUCCACCUGUGUGGGGCCGAGUAAAGAACCAUCAACAGGACCGUCAUGUGCAUCUAGAAAAUUUGCAUCGGGUGCUGUAUCUUUCUCUUCUGGUCCCCGAGCAUCGUUGGAUACUUGCUGUAAUAUAAAGUUUCAUGAGAAGGAGAUCAAGCAAUUGUAGCCGUUAAGAUAAGAUUCAACGACGCUUGUGAUAACCAGCCUGGAUAGGAGAUACGAUGCUGGGCUCUGGGAUAAUAACGCUCUUGGCAAAUCUAACGGAUGAUGAAAUUCCACCAACAGCAGUACUCGCUUCUUUAGGGCGUGUAUAAUGGUAAUACUUGGCCUCCUGAGCAACUGGGAAGAAUGGAAACAGUGAGCUGGUAGAAACAAUCUGAGAGUGCACCAUGCACAGUAUCAGCAUCAUACCGGCUGGAAUCAGGACUUCAAAGGCUGAUACAAUCUGAAAAUGAUUAGGUAUGAAAUCGGAUGCAGUAAAGGAGUAAGAAGAGUAAAAAUAUUCGUGGACUGGUCUGCUGCACCCACCAAGAUUUGUGCAAUGGGAGGAACAGGAGCCUUUGGACAGCCAGAUAAGCAACAGUGCAUAAUCCGUGUUCGGGUUUUGCUUUGGGAAACGACGACCCUAAGAAAUCAGAAUCAGUGGAAAAUGAAUAAUUUUCACAUUUAUGACAAGGGUCAUACGAUUACUUGCCUCUCACUAGAUCAACAUCUAUCAAGUUCGUCUUGAAGUUUGCUCUGGCGACAGGAAUCCAUAUAAAAUGGUUUAUGAAUCGCUGCUCCAAGGUUUUCUCCCACUGCUGUUUAUCAUAAGUUCCAAUUUUUUUCUGAUACCUAAAAUUUGCAGAGACAAACUAUGAAAUAAAUUUAGAUGUCAGUUUGUAGCUGUCAAGGGCUUACAAAAUUUCAAAGAACUAAUGUGAGUACAAGUUGCUGUUAUUCAAAUAAUGAAAAGUACAUAACGAAAUUGGUACUAACCAGAACAUAAGAUCGUUGAGGCCCAUAAUGCAGAAAUUCAGCGAUGCUUUACGUUUAAGACAAACAGCAGAACCUGUCAAUUCGACCUCUGACAGUUUAUUUAAUAUAUGCAUUUCUGCUGUAUGAGCUUGAGUGCUCGUUUUUUAGCUAUACGUAUCCCACUCAUUAUUCACAGGAACACAGGUUUUCUAAUCAGUGAUAUGACCAGCUGCGACCACUGAAUGUGGUGAGGAUAAUACAUGAACAAACUUGAAGAUGUUCAGUACAUAAUCGCAAGUUUUUUCGUACCCGACAUAAAUAAAUGUACGGAAGAUUAAGUUAAGCAACAGUGGUACGUACGUAGUACGUAAAUUAACACUUAUUACCGAGAAGUCGCUUGCGAUUUUUCCCUGUCCUGUGGCUAGGCGUUAAAUAACGUAAAAUGACGAAUACUGCGAUAAGUACGCGUUGACGGUUAAAACUUUCGUCGUUUCGUGUUUGUCAAUUUAUUUAUUUAAUUAUUCAUUCGAAAAGAAGAGAUGUCACUUCAUAUGUAUACAAUACGCCGUGUUCCCGUAUAACGUACAUAUAUGUGUAGAUACAUCGCAAUUCGACAGCUGUUUCAACCCUGCACCUGUAAGUCUCCUCACACCAUUAAACAUAGAACCGACCUACAUAGGUCCGGAUAAUCGCAGUACGCACGCCUAUAAUAGUCGAUAUGACGUGUGUCCCGGCCCGUGUGUCGUCGGCAGGUUCAAAAACACUGGUGUCAAAUUGGCGUCACGCAAAAACCGACGAAGCAGACGAAGGCACAUAUUCGAUCGAGAAAAGACUCACCGCUGCUGCCACCUGCUUUAAGCUCAUAGAAACAACCGAGUGAAGCAUCUUUUUAUUUUGCAUAGGCAUAAAGUAUUCAAUACUCGUUGCAUCUUAUUUAUUAAGCCCGAGUAAUACGGUUUCGGCUAUUGUAUGUUUCAGUCAUGUUCAUCCCAGUUAUUGACGAUCUGGAAUGGAUGUGGUGAAUAAUUGAUGAAUUUUUUUUUUUUCGAUUGAAAUGUACAAGAUAUAGACUUUGCUUUAUUGACGGUCUUAAGUGUAUAUAAAAACUACUGCAGUAUAUUGGUCAUUCGCUGAGGUUAUUUCUCGAAAUUACCAUCUCGUUCUGUUUCUGACCUGACAAGGUCUAAUAUAGAAUAUAUACGCCUGUAUAAUAAAACACAAUGAUUGUAAUUAAUAUCAUAAUAUUGACUAAUAUAAAUAUUAAAUUGUCUAUUGUAAAUAAUUAAACACAAACGCAGUUGUAUAUUAUACGCGGAUGUAAGACGUGUAUCAAAGACGGAAAGGCAAUAACAAUGAUAAUAUUAACAGUCAUAAUAAUUUAUCAUUCAAAUUUCUAUGGCACAUAUAUGUGUAAGUGUGUAAUUAACGUUUUGAAAAUAUCAUGUCUCGUUCAAAUCGGUGAGACGUCCACGUUAUCUGAAAUGUGUUUGUAUCAUCCAAUACGUAUAUGUUAAUUCUGUCUACGUGUUUAUUUUGUAUUACGUUAUGCGAAGAAAAACAAUUAAUCAACGUUCGACGCAAUUAUUAUCAUCACCUUCAUAUGCAUGUAUGUAUAAUGUGUGUAUAUACUUCUUACCACAUCGUAUUGAAUUAAAAUUAAAUUAUUACGUAAAAAUCGAACCCGUACAUUUCAUGGUUUACGAAAUAAUAUUAUACAGAACUCAAUAUAGGUAUCUUAUUUCGCGACGAUUUUUUAAAUACGCUUGUACACACGCACUUUGCAGAUUUCUUAUUGUAUUACAGCAAUCACACUCUUAUGGACAGGCGUACUAUGCUUCGAUCAGAUUCGAGGAAUUUAAUAAUGAAAGGAAAAGAACGGGAGCAAAAGCUGUAUAAAAACAUA